rnacentral:rRNA from 1 species
GGAAUCUUCCACAAUGGACGAAAGUCUGAUGGAGCAACGCCGCGUGAGUGAUGAAGGGUUUCGGCUCGUAAAACUCUGUUGUUGGAGAAGAACAGGUGAUAGAGUAACUGUUAUCAUCUUGACGGUAUCCAACCAGAAAGCCACGGCUAACUACGUCCCAGCAGCCGCGGUAAUACGUAGGUGGCAAGCGUUGUCCGGAUUUAUUGGGCGUAAAGCGAGCGCAGGCGGUUUUUUAGGUCUGAUGUGAAAGCCUUCGGCUUAACCGGAGAAGGGCAUCGGAAACCGGGAGACUUGAGUGCAGAAGAGGACAGUGGAACUCCAUGUGUAGCGGUGAAAUGCGUAGAUAUAUGGAAGAACACCAGUGGCGAAGGCGGCUGUCUGGUCUGUAACUGACGCUGAGGCUCGAAAGCAUGGGUAGCGA